rnacentral:rRNA from 1 species
UACGUAGGGGGCAAGCGUUGUCCGGAAUUAUUGGGCGUAAAGCGCGCGCAGGCGGUCCUUUAAGUCUGAUGUGAAAGCCCACGGCUCAACCGUGGAGGGUCAUUGGAAACUGGGGGACUUGAGUACAGAAGAGAAGAGUGGAAUUCCACGUGUAGCGGUGAAAUGCGUAGAGAUGUGGAGGAACACCAGUGGCGAAGGCGACUCUUUGGUCCGUAACUGACGCUGAGGCGCGAAAGCGUGGGGAGCAAACAGG